rnacentral:lncRNA from 1 species
AUUAUUUCUGACUCAUGGGAUUUUUAUCAUCUUUGAUCUGUCUGUGUUUUCUGAAUAUCAAGCAAUUAACAUAUAUUAAUUAUAUAAAGAAGAAAAUUUGUUAGAAAUAAAAUGAGAAAUGGGUUUGUUAGGAAAGAUAAAGAGUAAGAAUUGAGUUUGAAGUGAAAAAUUUUUUAAGAGGGUAAUUGCUAAAAUGGAGUCAGAGCACAAAGUUGAAUGAUAAUAUUUUGAACAAUUCAGCACCCAAAAAUGUUUUCUGCAUUAGAGGGCAACAUGUCCUGUGUUGUUAGCCAACAAUCUUGUCACAAUAUAUGACUUAUAAAGAUGAGGGGGAGGCCCAAUUUUGAGAUUUCUUUUGGCAGUAUAUUCUAUCUAAAAUGCUCUGGCUUUCUUGAAAACAUCUUUUAUCUAGAAAGUGGAAGAUAAAGAAUUUGAAAUAGAAGCUUAACAAAAAACAAAGAUGAACCCAGAAGACUGGUGGGUCUAGGACACACACGGUGCACAGGGCUGGCUGUGGUAGGUGGACUUCAGAGGAAUCCUGACCAAGGGCACCGCAGGGCGUAGUGCACUAGAGCCACAGAGCCGUGGGACACGUCCAUGGAGACCCACAGAGACUAAGAUCACUCUCCUCCCACCCGCUGCCUCCCUGAGGGCUGUAACCUCGCCUGUUUUUUCCUUGUUGUUGCCUCCCAGCAGAAAUCUGUGAGUGUACUGGUCGCAUCAUCUGCAGGGAAGGACAUGGCUUACGCUUUGAGUAACUACUCUUCCUUGCAUGUAGUUGAACCUGGGAAGGGAAUGGUGCCAUAUGGAGGAGACUGUGCCCCUCUUGUCACCUAUAUGCUAGGGGAUCUGUAUUGAAUGUAGGGUACUGCAUUAUCUUGAUCUCAGGAGACAAAGAUACUCCUUAAACUGGAGUUAGCCUUACCUUAAAGGAUGAGAUCAUUUCUUUGACCAGCAAUCUCUUUCUUAUCAAAUGUCCUCUCUCUGGUCCACAACAGAAUAGGAAGCCCAUAGGGAACCUUCUGGUUUUAACUUGGGCUUUUGACGUUGCCUUUGAAGAAUAUCCUGGAGCUUGAUCCAGAACAGCCAAAUAUAAGAUGACAAUUCCCAUAAGGGGACCAGC